rnacentral:rRNA from 1 species
CAACCUUGAAAUACCACCCUUUAAUGUUUGAUGUUCUAACGUUGGCCCCUUACCGGGGUUGCGGACAGUGUCUGGUGGGUAGUUUGACUGGGGCGGUCUCCUCCUAAAGCGUAACGGAGGAGCACGAAGGUUAGCUAAUCCUGGUCGGACAUCAGGAGGUUAGUGCAAUGGCAUAAGCUAGCUUGACUGCGAGCGUGACGGCGCGAGCA